UUAUUAUCUGGGUUGUUUCUUGAUAAAUGUAGUAGAAGCGGCCCAUUAAAUCCUCCAAGCCACUAGGGGGCCUCGCAAGUUUCUUAUUUUUCACCUUUUGAGAAAUCCUUGUGUGAAAUAAAAUCAGUCUAAAUUCCUGUUUACACACCAUCUGCUUUUUAGAUUUUUACGAUGCUAUAUGAUUAUUCCAAAUAGCAUUAUACUCCAUUUGAAAUACGCAUGUGUGUGCUCAAGAUGGCCGCCACACAUAUCCUGGGUUUGUUUGACGCACUGGUCAGUGGGAGGUUUUCCAAUCUUCAAGUAGGACAAAUCCACUGGAACGUCCUUCAGUCUCUUAAUUCCCACUCUGAAAGUCAGAUGUUCUCAGGAGCUCCGAUAUUUAUAAGAGCAUCAAAUCCAAGCAUAUGCCUGAGGAAUUGAUGAUUAACCCUCUUCUUUUCUUGGACAUUUCUUGGAUUUGGACUUCAUCACAGACCUUUACUUCUUGAGUUCCAGACUUGAGACAAAAACGGCAAAACCGCUGCAAUAUCUGAGGACGAGGAACUAACCGUUGACUAAUCACAGCAGCUGCUGAUUCUUAUCCUCAUCUGCAUCUAUCUCAAACGCUAAUUGGAUUGAUUACUGACAGGCAAAUCGCAGAGGCACAGCUUGACUAAUGACUUCCUGUCUCUGCUUUUCCAUCUCCAUCCAAGUGGGAUCUGCAGGGAGACUUUGUUGUAUCGGCCUGUGGCUCUCUCCUCUGUGUUAUUGCACAGCGCACAAUGCAAUCUAAUCUGCAGCUGCGGGCAUGCUAACCUGCCUACUAAAUAAUAAACAACGCCGGACCGUUCCGCCCAUAAUCCAGCAAAACCAGCACUUCCUUUUGGAUUACACUUCACACAAAUCCCAGGUGUAGAGAAAUAAUGGCAGAAUAUCAGGAAUGAGAAAGAUAUUAACACCAUUUUUACACCCAGAGGAGUCUUUUUACUGCAGUAUGCACAUUGUAAUUCGGCUAUUACGUGCCUCGGUUUCAAUCAAGCCAUGACUCUCGGUGAAGAUUGAAUAAAGCUCUUCAGACAUGUUCCAUUGGACACAAUCAAACUUCAGCUCGUAAUAAUGAGCCAGUUAGAGGAUUUGGCUGGGCUCUCUGGUGACUGGGAGGGGAAAGUCGAGGUAAAGUGCUCAGCUGUUUUUCAAGUCUUGAUGGAUUUACGAGUCAGAUAUCGAGCUCAGAGCUCUGGUCUGUCCCUGCAGCCUUCACAUGGAGAGCAUGAUGCUCAGAUUCAGCUGUGAAUCACCGAGAGGACAGCAACAAGACAGCAGGCAUGAGUCACACUGAGGAUCGGAGGAAAUAAAGCAGAAAAACGACAAAGAAUUUUCUGUGCUGAAUUAUCCUCGAAUGUAGGGUUUGUGAGGACAUUAUUUCUGUUCUUUUCUCUUCUUUAUGUUUCGGAUGAAAAGUACACAGAAGGAGUGGAUCAGUAGGAGUAACCUUCAUGAAGUUCCAUCUUGAGCUAAUCUAUUAUACAAAUCUGUCAGGAACGACCGCGGGGGUUUACACACUCAUCCCAGAGUCUGUGUCAUCUGAGUCACGACCGUCUGAGAACCUGCUCACAAAAACUCACUGAAACGUAGAGAUGGCGAAAGAAAACUUUUGUGCAAUAGAGUUUUAUGUUCCUGUGUAUAUAUACAUAUGGGUUGAAUUCUCAGCUGGUCAGAAGGAGUUUGGCUCUUUCUACCUUCUACAUUAUUGCUUCUAUAGUAACAGCUUAUUCACAAAGGACUUGUGUAAUUAUAGAUUUGGCGAAUAUAUUUAUUUAACAUUUAUGGAAGGAGUCUCCAUUGUCAGUGCUUUGUAACAAUUACAGACAAACAUGCAAUUUAACCUUACAAAAAUUAAGAUUUUCUUGAUUCUGUGCAAAUUAGGUAUGACGCAGUAAAGCUCAAAUGAUUCCUCGGACCAGUCCUAUGGUGUGUGUGGUCCAACGUUUCUUUAGUUUCCUGCUCACAACUUUAGCUCCUACAUGCAAUUAGUUCCCGUUUACUGUUCGAUGGGCAAAAAUGGAAGAAAAACUUGGAUAUAACCAUGGACAGGCCACGCCCACAAGCAAAAACAGUAUCAUUCUAGGGUUACACACCCGCAAGAGACAAACUACAAGCAAGCAACGUGUCACUUCCUAGUAAGAACAUUGGGUAAUUUUUUUUUUUUUUUUAAUAAAACUUCUUCAGGACAGAGAAGUUAACACUUAUAAAACUUUAUAAAACUUUGGGACAGAGAAGUUUACACUUCGCAGUUUCUCGAAAAGUAUUUUGUUUAUGUUUUGUCAGGUUUUUUUUUUCCUUUUUAACUUCAAGAGAGAGAAAAAAUAGAGGCUGACAAGGAAACGACUGUUUAUAGCUAUUAGGAGCUACCUUUCCACUAUAAACUGUGGAGACUAUAAACUGAUAAAAAAGUAUGUUGUUCUUUAAUAAAUAAGCAAAUUGUAAUAGUUAGCAAACUGCUGUUGUAUAAGAAAACAUACCACACCGUCACUCAUUAUAGGUUCUGAAAGGGGACAGGAAUCUUAUUUAUUCCAGGUUUUAGGAACAUUUAACUAAGUGCGUGUGCAUGUUAGUGCACCCCAGUCUGUACAUCACUAUAUAGUAACAGGCUGUGAAACUUCACACUGUCCAUCUCUUUGAGCUGUUAAUGGCCCAAUUAUCAUGGCUCUGGAGCAGAUCAAUGAAGGUCCACCGUCUCCAUCUGCCAACACAGUGGGAGGUGGAGAAGG